CCGCCACCGCCAGCGCCAGGAAGGGGAUGCCAGGACGGCGACCGGCCAAUCAGACGCCGCCUCCUGUGCCCAGUGCAGGGGGGUUGGCCAAUCAGAGGCCUCCGAGCUGCCGUCAUUGUGUCCAUCUGUAGCUGUGCAGUAGGAAACUGGCCCCAGAAACUACAACAAAACUGCAGAGACGACACCAACUGCGGGACGAGCGGUGAUGUGUUCACGUGCGGACACUCCCCGGUUCUUCACACCGAAACAUGUGUUGCAUUCACACGCAGCAUGUAAAAAUAAAAGUAGAAAUUCAA